GAUGAACGCUGGCGGCGUGCCUAAUACAUGCAAGUCGAGCGAACAGACGAGGAGCUUGCUCCUCUGACGUUAGCGGCGGACGGGUGAGUAACACGUGGAUAACCUACCUAUAAGACUGGGAUAACUUCGGGAAACCGGAGCUAAUACCGGAUAAUAUAUUGAACCGCAUGGUUCAAUAGUGAAAGACGGUGUUGCUGUCACUUAUAGAUGGAUCCGCGCUGCAUUAGCUAGUUGGUAAGGUAACGGCUUACCAAGGCGACGAUGCGUAGCCGACCUGAGAGGGUGAUCGGCCACCCUGGAACUGAGACACGGUCCAGACUCCUACGGGAGGCAGCAGUAGGGAAUCUUCCGCAAUGGGCGAAAGCCUGACGGAGCAACGCCGCGUGAGUGAUGAAGGUCUUCGGAUCGUAAAACUCUGUUAUUAGGGAAGAACAAAUGUGUAAGUAACUGUGCACGUCUUGACGGUACCUAAUCAGAAAGCCACGGCUAACUACGUG
rnacentral:rRNA from 1 species